rnacentral:lncRNA from 1 species
AGUACCCUUCCAAAAGUUGCCCCCAAAGCACAGGCACUCACCAGCUCAUUCAAGACACCAUCGGCCUCUGCUCUUCAAACCUCGGCCUCUUUGCUCUUGGCUGCUCUGGCUCCCCUGUAGACUGGGGCUGCCUGCUUUUUCCUGCCUGCUCUUCCCAAGCUACCAGCAACCAACUCCAGCCCCAGCCCCAGCCCCAGCCCCAGCCCCAGCUGUGUUCAGGGGAGGCUUCAGUGCAAGGAAUGGCAAGAGGCUGUGAGGGAAGGCAGGGUUUUAUUUUUUUCUUUUUAGGAUUGGGGGUGGGGUGUUGGAGCAGUUUUGCUCUCUCAGGACAAAGUGACCCUCCCCCAACAGAGUGGUCCCUCUAUUAGGUGUCUUUAGAAGCUGGGUUCCAGGGGCCACAAUCCUGUUUGCUAUCCUGUCAUGGUGGGUACCAUUGUCUGGGGAGAAAACAAAGUUUGGAGAAUUCAUAUAUUCUCAGAGCACAUAAGCAAGGGGUGCCCUUUGUAAUAACCCUUUAAUCAUAUGCUUGAGCUGGAGUUGGACUCCAAUUUGGGGCAACAAUACUUUCUAGAAAGCUUGGCUGGGGUGAGACACAUUGCUUGGUGCAUCCAUAUCUCCAACUGGAGGAAGAUGAGCUGGGAUGCAGACUCCAGGAAUUGAGGGCAAGUUCACUCUCUUCCCUCAAGAAUUUCCUCUCUCAAGAAGACUAAGACCUCCAAAACACAUCAUUCUGAAAUUGUUCCCACUUUCCAGCUUCUUUGUGAGCAAAAAGGAAGCUUAAGCCUCAGAAAAGAGCCCUGAGUCCCCUCCUUACCCAGCAUUUAGGAGUCACCAGAGAUUAGGGAAAACUCCCCAGACAGCAACCCACAAACCUGAAACUUUGUCUGCUGGAACAUCUCACCCUUGCUGCAGGACGCGAGCUAUAAGCCCAAACGUUCUUCGUUCUUCUUCCUCUAACUUUUCCCCUAAACUAAGGGCUCUCUGGGUUCCUCUCUUGUUGCAGAGAGGCAUUCCGGCAAAGCCAGGGCCAGAGAGUAGGAACCAGGAGGGCGGCAGUCAGAGCCCAGUGUCUGCACAGCUUGGAUCUUAAGAACAGCCCAGGGCUGUGACUUUU